rnacentral:rRNA from 1 species
AACGCUAGCUACAGGCUUAACACAUGCAAGUCGAGGGGCAGCAUGAUUGAAGCUUGCUUCAAUUGAUGGCGACCGGCGCACGGGUGAGUAACACGUAUCCAACCUUCCGUACACUCAGGGAUAGCCUUUCGAAAGAAAGAUUAAUACCUGAUGGUAUCUUAAGCACACAUGUAAUUAAGAUUAAAGAUUUAUCGGUGUACGAUGGGGAUGCGUUCCAUUAGGUAGUAGGCGGGGUAACGGCCCACCUAGCCGACGAUGGAUAGGGGUUCUGAGAGGAAGGUCCCCCACAUUGGAACUGAGACACGGUCCAAACUCCUACGGGAGGCAGCAGUGAGGAAUAUUGGUCAAUGGACGAGAGUCUGAACCAGCCAAGUAGCGUGAAGGAUGACUGCCCUAUGGGUUGUAAACUUCUUUUAUACGGGAAUAAAGUAUUCCACGUGUGGAAUUUUGUAUGUACCGUAUGAAUAAGGAUCGGCUAACUCCGUGCCAGCAGCCGCGGUAAUACGGAGGAUCCGAGCGUUAUCCGGAUUUAUUGGGUUUAAAGGGAGCGUAGGUGGAAGAUUAAGUCAGCCUGUGAAAGUUUGCGGCUCAACCGUAAAAUUGCAGUUGAUACUGGUUUUCUUGAGUGCAGUAGAGGUGGGCGGAAUUCGUGGUGUAGCGGUGAAAUGCUUAGAUAUCACGAAGAACUCCGAUUG